rnacentral:RNase_P_RNA from 1 species
CCAGUUGGCUGGGCAGCCGCGCUUUACCAAUGUCGAAAGACGGUAAGGUGAGGAAAGUCCGGGCUCCACGGAAAUACGGUGCCGGAUAACGUCCGGCGGGGGGCGACCCCAGGGAAAGUGCCACAGAGAGCAAACCGCCAUGCCUGGCAUGGUAAGGGUGAAAGGGUGGGGUAAGAGCCCACCGCACCGCUGGUGACAGUGGUGGCAAGGUAAACCCCACCGGGAGCAAGACCGAAUAGGGAUGACACGGGGCGCGGGCGAAAGCCUUCGUCUACAGCCGGUUUCCGGGCCCGUCAUCCGGGUGGGUUGCGAGAGGCGGCAUGCAAAUGCCGUCCCAGAUGAAUGGCUGCCACGUUCCGGGUCAAACCGGGGCCAUACAGAACCCGGCUUACAGGCCAACUGGCGAA